rnacentral:rRNA from 1 species
CGGAAGGUCCCGGCGUUAUCCGGAUUUAUUGGGUUUAAAGGGAGUGUAGGCUGUUUGAUAAGCGUGUUGUGAAAUGUAGAUGCUCAACAUCUGAAUUGCAGCGCGAACUGUCAGACUUGAGUACACGCAACGUGGGCGGAAUUCAUGGUGUAGCGGUGAAAUGCUUAGAUAUCAUGAGGAACUCCAAUUGCGAAGGCAGCUCACGGGGAGUGUUACUGACGCUUAAGCUCGAAGGUGCGGGUAUCAAACAGGAUU